AUGUUCUCUGAGCUUCUCCAGAACCAAGCGCAGAUGUUCAGUGUGUUCCUCCUCAUUCUUGGAGAAAACCAAUAUGUCAUCAAUGAAUACCACAACGAACUUAUCCAAGAACUCCAUGAACACCUUGUUCAUCAUGCUCAUAAAAUAGGCAGGGGCAUUAGUCAAACCAAAGGACAUGACUGUAUACUCAUAAAGCCCAUACCUUGUAGUAAAAGCUGUCUUGGGUAUAUCCUUCUCACGGAUCUUCAAUUGGUGAUAACCCGAUCAAAGAUCGAUCUUGGAGAAAACACUAGCUCCUUCUAG
rnacentral:rRNA from 1 species